GACGUAGGGCGCGAGCGUUGUCCGGAUUUAUUGGGCGUAAAGAGCUCGUAGGCGGCUUGUUGCGUCAGCUGUGAAAACCCGCAGCUCAACUGUGGGCUUGCAGCUGAUACGGGCAGGCUUGAGUUCGGUAGGGGAGACUGGAAUUCCUGGUGUAGCGGUGAAAUGCGCAGAUAUCAGGAGGAACACCGGUGGCGAAGGGCGGGUCUCUGGGCCGGUACUGGACGCUGAGGAGCGAAAAGCGUGGGGUAG
rnacentral:rRNA from 1 species